UGACGUCCAUGAGCGACGGUGACCACUC
rnacentral:sRNA from 1 species